rnacentral:misc_RNA from 1 species
AACUGCCAAACAAUUCAUUAACAUUUCAGAUGCAAACAAAUAUAAAACAUGAUGAACAUUAAUAAAUUCAUCAGGAUAAGCUAACAGUUAAAAAUAAAAUUGUACUCGUGCAUUAGUGAUUUCCCGCGACAAUCUAAUACCAUAUAUUUAAUUAUAGAAAAAGAGCAUCUGGAGGCUUGUAGUAAAGCAAAUGAUGAUACCUCUAUA